rnacentral:rRNA from 1 species
UACGGGGGGGGCAAGCGUUGUUCGGAAUUACUGGGCGUAAAGGGCUCGUAGGCGGCCAACUAAGUCGGGUGUGAAAUCCCCAGGCUCAACCUGGGAACUGCAUCCGAUACUGGAUGGCUUGAAUUCGGGAGAGGGAUGCAGAAUUCCAGGUGUAGCGGUGAAAUGCGUAGAUAUCUGGAGGAAUACCGGUGGCGAAGGCGGCAUCCUGGACCGGCAUUGACGCUGAGGAGCGAAAGCCAGGGGAGCAAACGGG